CCAGGAGUAUCUCGCUUUCUUUCUCUCCGAGGUAUGGAAGGGUUUUGGCCGGUGACGCUUCAGCGCGACUGUUUCCAAUCUUUUCCCAUUCCUGCAGUCCGGAGCCUGCGAGGAAGAUUUCCCAACAGCCGGGCUGCUCCCAGCGCACAAUGGAGAAGGUCCCUCAGAGUUGCAUGAAAGGAGGAGGAAAAAACAAAGGUUAUGUUCGAAAGAAAGGAGAAAAGCGGGAGAAGGCAGAGGCACGAAAAGGAUUGAGCUGGAUUUGGGCGCAAUGGGAUUCAACGAAGUUCUCCCGGGAUGAGGUAGCCUCACCUUUGGACUGAGCAGUUGCAACAUCUAAGUAAAUAGGUAAAAUUUAUACCCAAUAAAUCAAUGUGUCAAGGGCCAGCAAGGAGAGGUCAAUUAACCAGAUGUAUGAGGCAAGAGGCAGCGACUAUCCAUUUCCAAAGAAGCUCCAAGGGUUAGUGUCUCUCCAGCACGCUGGAGGUCAGUUAACACUUUCCAGGCUUUCCCAGAUGAGAGCCAUUCCAUGGAAGAUGCAAAAUGAGCAAGUGCUGUGUAGCACAUCAAAAGGAUUGGGAAGCAUGGACAGAUGGAUUGAUGGAUGUGAUUAAUAAUCAAACCAAGAGCUUUUACUGGGAGUCAUGUGGAAAAUGUGGCUUUGGAAACAUCUGACUGGAGCCCAAACAAGCGGUGUUUUUCUUCCUUUCUUUUUUUUUGUCCCCAGCCCCCACAUCUCCCUCCCCUGCUUUUCUUUCCUUGUCCAGAGUCACUAAUUAAAAUCUUUUAUUAUCUAUACCUGCUCCAAGUGGCAGCUCAAAGGGCUCCUGUUUUGCUGUGAUUUAUGUUUUGUGUAUCUCAGGCUUCAGCAGAAAAAUAAUUGACCAAAUAAUAAAAGGGGCACUAAGUAGCUCUUCAUUAUAAAUGACAGGGCAUCCACCAAUCUUUACUGUUCGUCUUAAGCACCGGUUCAACCUUUGCGUUAAAUGUCCAGAUCAUUGUGGGGGAUGGUGUGCUAAACCAGGUGAAGAUAAUCUUAGGCUGCUCAAAGGGCAGGAUCAUUUUGGGACCAGGCGAUUUUUAGACUGAGGACAAACAGGGAGCUGCUGUGAAAAGUUGACGGGUUGUUUUCAACCAUCAAAACAGUCCACUGGAAACCCACAGUGUAAGGGAGUA